GAUGAACGCUGGCGGUAUGCUUAACACAUGCAAGUCGAACGGACUCUUCGGAGUUAGUGGCGGACGGGUGAGUAACGCGUGAGAAUCUGGCUUUGGGUUCGGGACAACCACUGGAAACGGUGGCUAAUACCGGAUGUGCCGAGAGGUAAAAGAGAAAUUGCCUGAAGAUGAGCUCGCGUCUGAUUAGCUAGUUGGUGAGGUAAAGGCUCACCAAGGCAGCGAUCAGUAGCUGGUCUGAGAGGAUGACCAGCCACACUGGGACUGAGACACGGCCCAGACUCCUACGGGAGGCAGCAGUGGGUAAUUCUCCGCAAUGGGCGAAAGCCUGACGGGGCAAUACCGCGUGAGGGAAGAAGGCUCUUUGGUUGUAAACCUCUUUUCUUAGGGAAGAACAAAAUGACGGUACCUAAGGAAUCAGCAUCGGCUAACUCCGUG
rnacentral:rRNA from 1 species